rnacentral:lncRNA from 1 species
CAAAGAACCAUCCUAAUCCGCCACACAUCACCAUCUCCAUCUAGAUCCACCACACCAUCACACCGCCUCCAUCCAGAUCCGCCACACCAUACCACCACCUCCAUCUGAAUUGCCACACAACACCUCCGCCUCCAUCUAGAUCUGCGACAACCACCACCACCGAAAGAAAAAACGUUAUUGUACGGUGAAGAAAGUCAAGGAUGAACUUAUUUUGGAUGGAAAUGACAUUGAGCUUGUUUCCAAAUUGUGUGCCUUGAUUAACCAGAAAUGUCAUGUGAAGAACAAAGAUAUCAGAAAGUUUCUUGAUGGUAUUUAUGUCAGUAACAAGGCAAAGAUAGAUGCGGGUGACAAUUAGUCGGUGGUUGUUAAUGGUGAUGGGUGGUGGUCUUUGAGAGGAAGAGAGAUAGGUGGUGCUAGUGAGGUGUUUAGGUGGUCGUUGUGAUGGUGGCUUGGGUGGUGGCCGGAUGGUGGUUGGAAUGUCAUUGGUGAAGCUUUAGGCUAAAAGUUAGGGAGAAAGAGGGUGUUGACUUGAAAGAGGUUAUUUAGCAACUACGGAAUAGGCUGGAGCUGCUCGGUCUUGACAUAUUGGAAUUUGCAACUUCACCGAAAAAUAUCUUAUUAGGCUUAAGUCACCUUUUAUAUAUUCGAUCCGCCUGUGGAUUUUAGUAUGACUUGUAUAAUAUUUUUGUACUUUAUUUUAUUUACUUUAAAUUUUCAUCU